rnacentral:ncRNA from 2 species
GUCUAUCUGGCUGGCGACGGUUCCGAGCGAGUGAUCGUGAGGAAUAAUAGGGAACACGGUGAGGGGAUAUCUCCAAUGCCGUGGCUGCCCCCGCAACUGUAAGCGGAUUGUCGAGCACUCGUGGCGCAUUCACCUGCGUCAGGCCACUGCGAAUUAUCGUGGGAAGGCGGGCAAGACGAUCAUCCGUGAGCCAGGAGACCUGCCGUCAUAAGUUCAUUCCA